ACGGUGAAGCCCCUUCGGGGGUGGAUCAGUGGCGAACGGGUGAGUAACACGUGAGCAACCUGCCCCCUACUUCGGGAUAAGCCUUGGAAACGGGGUCUAAUACCGGAUAUGAACACGUGCCGCAUGGUGGGUGUUGGAAAGUUUUUCGGUGGGGGAUGGGCUCGCGGCCUAUCAGCUUGUUGGUGGGGUAAUGGCCUACCAAGGCGUCGACGGGUAGCCGGCCUGAGAGGGCGACCGGCCACACUGGGACUGAGACACGGCCCAGACUCCUACGGGAGGCAGCAGUGGGGAAUAUUGCACAAUGGGCGAAAGCCUGAUGCAGCGACGCCACGUGAGGGAUGACGGCCUUCGGGUUGUAAACCUCUUUCAGCAGGGAAGAAGCGCAAGUGACGGUACCUGCAGAAGAAGCGCCGGCUAACUACGUGCCAGCAGCCGCGGUAAUACGUAGGGCGCAAGCGUUGUCCGGAAUUAUUGGGCGUAAAGAGCUCGUAGGCGGUCUGUCGCGUCUGGUGUGAAAUCCCAUGGCUCAACUGUGGGCUUGCAUCGGGUACGGGCAGACUAGAGUGCUGUAGGGGAGACUGGAAUUCCUGGUGUAGCGGUGGAAUGCGCAGAUAUCAGGAGGAACACCGAUGGCGAAGGCAGGUCUCUGGGCAGUUACUGACGCUGAGGAGCGAAAGCAUGGGGAGCGAACAGGAUUAGAUACCCUGGUAGUCCAUGCCGUAAACGUUGGGCACUAGGUGUGGGGCCAGUUCCACUGGUUCUGUGCCGCAGCUAACGCAUUAAGUGCCCCGCCUGGGGAGUACGGCCGCAAGGCUAAAACUCAAAGGAAUUGACGGGGGCCCGCACAAGCGGCGGAGCAUGCGGAUUAAUUCGAUGCAACGCGAAGAACCUUACCAAGGCUUGACAUGUACGAGAAAGCCCCAGAGAUGGGGUUCUCUUUGGACACUCGUACACAGGUGGUGCAUGGUUGUCGUCAGCUCGUGUCGUGAGAUGUUGGGUUAAGUCCCGCAACGAGCGCAACCCUUAUCCUAUGUUGCCAGCGGGUUAUGCCGGGGACUCAUGGGAGACUGCCGGGGUCAACUCGGAGGAAGGUGGGGAUGACGUCAAAUCAUCAUGCCCCUUAUGUCUUGGGCUUCACGCAUGCUACAAUGGCCGGUACAGAGGGCUGCGAUACCGUGAGGUGGAGCGAAUCCCAAAAAGCCGGUCUCAGUUCGGAUCGGGGUCUGCAACUCGACCCCGUGAAGUCGGAGUCGCUAGUAAUCGCAGAUCAGCAACGCUGCGGUGAAUACGUUCCCGGGCCUUGUACACACCGCCCGUCAAGUCACGAAAGUUGGUAACACCCGAA
rnacentral:rRNA from 1 species